rnacentral:rRNA from 1 species
CCUACGGGAGGCUGCAGUGGGGAAUAUUGCACAAUGGGCGAAAGCCUGAUGCAGCAACGCCGCGUGAGGGAUGACGGCCUUCGGGUUGAAACCUCUUUUAGUAGGGAAGCGGUACCUGCAGAAAAAGCACCGGCUAACUACGUGCCAGCAGCCGCGGUAAUACGUAGGGUGCAAGCGUUGUCCGGAAUUAUUGGGCGUAAAGAGCUCGUAGGCGGUUUGUCGCGUCUGCUGUGAAAACCCGAGGCUCAACCUCGGGCCUGCAGUGGGUACGGGCAGACUAGAGUGCGGUAGGGGAGAAUGGAAUUCCUGGUGUAGCGGUGGAAUGCGCAGAUAUCAGGAGGAACACCGAUGGCGAAGGCAGUUCUCUGGGCCGUACUGACGCUGAGGAGCGAAAGCGUGGGGAGCGAACAGGAUUAGAUACCCUUGUAGUC